ensembl:snRNA U4 U4 spliceosomal RNA
GGCUUUGUGCAGUGGCGGUAUCGUAGCCAAUGAGGUUAACCCAAGGCACGACUAUUGCUAAAAUAAAAAUAAAUAAAAAUGGAAAUUUAGGGCAUUUGAAAAUGUCAAAUGGUUUUCCUUGGUAUAGUUGGUUUAAAAUAAAUACAGAUUU